GGGUUGUGAGGUUAAGCGACUAAGCGUACACGGUGGAUGCCCUGGCAGUCAGAGGCGAUGAAGGACGUGCUAAUCUGCGAAAAGCGUCGGUAAGGUGAUAUGAACCGUUACAGCCGGCGAUGUCCGAAUGGGGAAACCCAGUGCAAUUCGUUGCACUAUCGUUAACUGAAUACAUAGGUUAACGAGGCGAACCGGGGGAACUGAAACAUCUAAGUACCCCGAGGAAAAGAAAUCAACCGAGAUUCCCCCAGUAGCGGCGAGCGAACGGGGAGCAGCCCAGAGUCUGAAUCAGCUUUGUGUGUUAGUGGAACGGUCUGGAAAGUCCGACGGUACAGGGUGAUAGUCCCGUACACCAAAAUGCACAGGCUGUGAACUCGAAGAGUAGGGCGGGACACGUGGUAUCCUGUCUGAAUAUGGGGGGACCAUCCUCCAAGGCUAAAUACUCCUGACUGACCGAUAGUGAACCAGUACCGUGAGGGAAAGGCGAAAAGAACCCCGGCGAGGGGAGUGAAAAAGAACCUGAAACCGUGUACGUACAAGCAGUGGGAGCACCUUCGGGUGUGACUGCGUACCUUUUGUAUAAUGGGUCAGCGACUUAUAUUCUGUAGCAAGGUUAACCGUAUAGGGGAGCCGCAGGGAAACCGAGUCUUAACUGGGCGUUAAGUUGCAGGGUAUAGACCCGAAACCCGGUGAUCUAGCCAUGGGCAGGUUGAAGGUUGGGUAACACUAACUGGAGGACCGAACCGACUAAUGUUGAAAAAUUAGCGGAUGACUUGUGGCUGGGGGUGAAAGGCCAAUCAAACCGGGAGAUAGCUGGUUCUCCCCGAAAGCUAUUUAGGUAGCGCCUCGUGAAUUCAUCUUCGGGGGUAGAGCACUGUUUCGGCUAGGGGGUCAUCCCGACUUACCAACCCGAUGCAAACUACGAAUACCGAAGAAUGUUAUCACGGGAGACACACGGCGGGUGCUAACGUCCGUCGUGAAGAGGGAAACAACCCAGACCGCCAGCUAAGGUCCCAAAGUCAUGGUUAAGUGGGAAACGAUGUGGGAAGGCACAGACAGCCAGGAUGUUGGCUUAGAAGCAGCCAUCAUUUAAAGAAAGCGUAAUAGCUCACUGGUCGAGUCGGCCUGCGCGGAAGAUGUAACGGGGCUAAACCAUGCACCGAAGCUGCGGCAGCGACACUAUGUGUUGUUGGGUAGGGGAGCGUUCUGUAAGCCUGCGAAGGUACUGUGAGGGUUGCUGGAGGUAUCAGAAGUGCGAAUGCUGACAUAAGUAACGAUAAAGCGGGUGAAAAGCCCGCUCGCCGGAAGACCAAGGGUUCCUGUCCAACGUUAAUCGGGGCAGGGUGAGUCGACCCCUAAGGCGAGGCCGAAAGGCGUAGUCGAUGGGAAACAGGUUAAUAUUCCUGUACUUGGUGUUACUGCGAAGGGGGGACGGAGAAGGCUAUGUUAGCCGGGCGACGGUUGUCCCGGUUUAAGCAUGUAGGCUGGUUAUCCAGGCAAAUCCGGAUAAUCAAGGCUGAGGUGUGAUGACGAGGCACUACGGUGCUGAAGUAACAAAUGCCCUGCUUCCAGGAAAAGCCUCUAAGCAUCAGGUAACAUCAAAUCGUACCCCAAACCGACACAGGUGGUCAGGUAGAGAAUACCAAGGCGCUUGAGAGAACUCGGGUGAAGGAACUAGGCAAAAUGGUGCCGUAACUUCGGGAGAAGGCACGCUGGUGUGUAGGUGAAGUCCCUGCGGAUGGAGCUGAGACCAGUCGAAGAUACCAGCUGGCUGCAACUGUUUAUUAAAAACACAGCACUGUGCAAACACGAAAGUGGACGUAUACGGUGUGACGCCUGCCCGGUGCCGGAAGGUUAAUUGAUGGGGUUAUCCGUAAGGAGAAGCUCUUGAUCGAAGCCCCGGUAAACGGCGGCCGUAACUAUAACGGUCCUAAGGUAGCGAAAUUCCUUGUCGGGUAAGUUCCGACCUGCACGAAUGGCGUAAUGAUGGCCAGGCUGUCUCCACCCGAGACUCAGUGAAAUUGAACUCGCUGUGAAGAUGCAGUGUACCCGCGGCAAGACGGAAAGACCCCGUGAACCUUUACUAUAGCUUGACACUGAACAUUGAGCCUUGAUGUGUAGGAUAGGUGGGAGGCUUUGAAGCGUGGACGCCAGUCUGCGUGGAGCCAACCUUGAAAUACCACCCUUUAAUGUUUGAUGUUCUAACGUUGGCCCCUUACCGGGGUUGCGGACAGUGUCUGGUGGGUAGUUUGACUGGGGCGGUCUCCUCCCAAAGCGUAACGGAGGAGCACGAAGGUUAGCUAAUCCUGGUCGGACAUCAGGAGGUUAGUGCAAUGGCAUAAGCUAGCUUGACUGCGAGCGUGACGGCGCGAGCAGGUGCGAAAGCAGGUCAUAGUGAUCCGGUGGUUCUGAAUGGAAGGGCCAUCGCUCAACGGAUAAAAGGUACUCCGGGGAUAACAGGCUGAUACCGCCCAAGAGUUCAUAUCGACGGCGGUGUUUGGCACCUCGAUGUCGGCUCAUCACAUCCUGGGGCUGAAGUAGGUCCCAAGGGUAUGGCUGUUCGCCAUUUAAAGUGGUACGCGAGCUGGGUUUAGAACGUCGUGAGACAGUUCGGUCCCUAUCUGCCGUGGGCGCUGGAGAAUUGAGGGGGGCUGCUCCUAGUACGAGAGGACCGGAGUGGACGCAUCACUGGUGUUCGGGUUGUCAUGCCAAUGGCACUGCCCGGUAGCUAAAUGCGGAAGAGAUAAGUGCUGAAAGCAUCUAAGCACGAAACUUGCCCCGAGAUGAGUUCUCCCUGAGACUUUAAGUCUCCUGAAGGAACGUUAAAGACGAUGACGUUGAUAGGCCGGGUGUGUAAGCGCAGCGAUGCGUUGAGCUAACCGGUACUAAUGAACCGUGAGGCUUAACCUUACAACGCCGAAG
rnacentral:rRNA from 1 species